rnacentral:rRNA from 1 species
CCUACUGGCGGCAGCAGUGGGGAAUAUUGCACAAUGGGCGCAAGCCUGAUGCAGCCAUGCCGCGUGUAUGAAGAAGGCCUUCGGGUUGUAAAGUACUUUCAGUCGUGAGGAAGGUGUUAAGGUUAAUAACCUUAGCAAUUGACGUUAGCGACAGAAGAAGCACCGGCUAACUCCGUGCCAGCAGCCGCGGUAAUACGGAGGGUGCGAGCGUUAAUCGGAAUUACUGGGCGUAAAGGGCACGCAGGCGGGUAAUUACGUUGGAUGUGAAAUCCCCGGGCUUAACCUGUGAAUGGCAUUCGAGACUGGUUAGCUAGAGUCUUGUAGAGGGGUGUAGAAUUCCGUGUGUGGCGGUGAAAUGCGUAGAGAUGUGGAGGAAUAACGGUGGCGAAGGCGGCCAACUGGACAAAGACUGACGCUCAGGUGAGAAGGCGUGGGGAACGAACAGGAUUAGAUACCCGUGUAGUC